GGAGCAGCAGGCUUUUGCUGAGCAGAGAGUCUGAUGCAGGACUCAAAUGCAGGAUGCUGGGAUCAUGAUCUGAGCUGAAGGCAGAUGCUCAAGCAAAGCGUUCUCUCCAGAGUGAUCUUUCAAAAGUUCUCCUAUGUCACAGCAAGACAGUCAGCAGACCCAGUGCCACCAGCCAGUCUUGCUCCAUCUUUUGAAAUGGAUACUGGAUGAGCAUGAAGUGCUCCAGGU
rnacentral:lncRNA from 1 species